CGAGAUAUAGGCUGCAAAAACACGGCAGUUGCGGCUGCGGACAGUACCGCUCCGUUACCUUGCAGCGCUCGCCUUUGAGAUUGGCGCAGUCAUGGGCGGGUGUUAUGCGUGUGUCGUUGUCGUCCAUCAGAACAGGUCCGCAGUGUGGUCGCGCAGGCCGGCCGCUCGGUGUUUCCGAAUAUGAGUUUUCAUUUCCAUCGCUUUGGAAGUGCUCGCGCCAUCGCAAUCGCUUCGUCUUCGGUAAGCGAAGAAAUAAAUCUCUUAAUUUCCAAUGGAUCGUCCUCAGAGCAUUUGUCACAUAACGUAAAACCUGAAUAACCCAUUGGCUUUCCACAGCGUUCACA
rnacentral:misc_RNA from 1 species